rnacentral:miRNA from 12 species
UGGAAACAUUGCUGCACAAACU